rnacentral:lncRNA from 1 species
UCAUUUGCAAUAGAGAUUUCAAUAUUAUCUUAAUUCUCAGGCAUUUAUCAGGGACUCCUGGAGACAAAGGCACAUAUUUCUCUUUAUCUAGCUCUGACCUAGUUCUGACCAUCGUCCCCAUCCAAACAGCAAGAGAAAUCUAAAGUUGUAAUACAUUAUUUAACAGGAUGAACCAGUAAUUCAGACUACAGGAAAAAAGCAGUAAGACAGUUCAGAAAAGCUUAAAAAUCUUGAAGUCUGUUCCAUGAAGGAAAGGGUCACAACGAAUGUCGGCACAAAACCUUGUCUCACUUUCUCGGUUUCAUGCACCUGGAUUCUGUUGUUUAUUUUACCCAAGUACUUCACAAACCUGAUGCCAACAGCAACUGUGAAAUGGAAGCAACUCUACAAAUUAUUGCCAUCAUGAGACUAUCAUUAGGUCUACAUAGCUCAAGCUUCACUUGGAGUUCAAUUGUGUGAUUCAGAAGCACAGCUAGGAUAAGUCAGAGACUGGAAAGGGGAAGAGGAGAGACGUGCAGGAGUAU